CUCGCCCUCAAGCGCCUCAAAGCUUCCUAAGCGCUUACAUUGGUCUUGGGACAGCCGACUUUGGCUUCUUUGUUUGUUUGAGGGACCGCGGAAGUGGCGGGGAAUGUGCCCCCGCUUGAGACCGCUUAUUGUGAGCCCUCAACGGAAAUCCUGCACGGAAGGCAACCGCCUCCCCGCUCGCGUUAGAAGGCUUCAUUUGCUCUGAGUUAUCAUUGAGAACUAAAUGGAGAAGAAAAGAACUGAAGGCCUGAAGAUAUGUCAUCUGUAGAAAAGAUGGACAUCUGAAAUCAUCAAACCCUUGAGAGAAACAGCCCUCAUUCUUUUAUGAGACAACCUGGAAGAAAACAGGACUCUGAAGAUUUGUCUCCAUAUUCUCUGGAAAGAUGUACUCUGUUUGCAAUAAGAGGGAGCCACAUGGUUUAUUAGAUGGUUAUUAAUUGAGCAUUCUGUGCAAAGAAGUUUGUGCCUUAGUUAUAUUGAAAAGAAGAAAAUCUCUCCAGUUUCAGAAACACUGGCCUUUUGGAUACUGAGGAGUUGGAAAUGGAAAGGGGAUUUUAAUGAGUUUCUCGGCAAUGAGGCUAGAGAAAAUAUUAUCCAUCUCCCCCUGUUCUCCAAUUCAGCAGCUCGGACUCCUGUUUUCAUCACAGUCCUGUUAGAUAAUUACAGCCCCAAAGGCCUCCUGUUCCUUCUUUCUGUGUUCCCUGAAUCUUCUUUCCCAGAGCCAGGACCUCUUGGAAAUUCUCAGCCUCUGUUAGUUGCCCGCUCUGGGAGCCCGACUCCUCACAUCCGUCAUCUCUUUCUUCUCCCCCUUCACCUGCUGUAGUGUCCCCACUGUCUCUCUUUACCUCAGCUCCUUACCAUUCCUUUCCCUCUACACCCUUUUCCUUUGGUUCAUAGUCAGGAUGUGCUAGUUGCAUUCAAGCCCUUUUUGAUACUAAGAAUUCAGGGGGACAAAUCCAAACCCUGGAGACUACUGUCUUCCCCUUAGUGAUGCUAAUGAAUAUAAUUCCUGAUCUGAAAUUACCUGCACUUUAUUUGGCUCCAUCUACUUUUCUGCCACUUACUCCCUGUAUAACCAUAGGCUACGUACCCUACCUCUCUCUGGGUUUGUUUACUCCUCAGUUAAAAGGAGGAUUAAAAUGGCAAUCACAACACCUUGCUACAGAUAUGUUAGGAAGAUUAAAUGGGAUAACAUGCAGGGUGCCUAGCCUUCCUGGCAUAUAGUAAAUGCCUAUAAAAUAUAACAAGUGUCAUGUAUUAUUAUUAAAUUGUAUCUACCUGGUAGAAACUAA
ensembl:lncRNA LINC01210 long intergenic non-protein coding RNA 1210